GACGAACGCUGGCGGCGUGCCUAAUACAUGCAAGUAGAACGCUGAAGGAGGAGCUUGCUUCUCUGGAUGAGUUGCGAACGGGUGAGUAACGCGUAGGUAACCUGCCUGGUAGCGGGGGAUAACUAUUGGAAACGAUAGCUAAUACCGCAUAAGAGUAGAUGUUGCAUGACAUUUGCUUAAAAGGUGCAAUUGCAUCACUACCAGAUGGACCUGCGUUGUAUUAGCUAGUUGGUGGGGUAACGGCUCACCAAGGCGACGAUACAUAGCCGACCUGAGAGGGUGAUCGGCCACACUGGGACUGAGACACGGCCCAGACUCCUACGGGAGGCAGCAGUAGGGAAUCUUCGGCAAUGGACGGAAGUCUGACCGAGCAACGCCGCGUGAGUGAAGAAGGUUUUCGGAUCGUAAAGCUCUGUUGUAAGAGAAGAACGAGUGUGAGAGUGGAAAGUUCACACUGUGACGGUAUCUUACCAGAAAGGGACGGCUAACUACGUGCCAGCAGCCGCGGUAAUACGUAGGUGGCAAGCGUUAUCCGGAUUUAUUGGGCGUAAAGAGAGUGCAGGCGGUUUUCUAAGUCUGAUGUGAAAGCCUUCGGCUUAACCGGAGAAGUGCAUCGGAAACUGGAUAACUUGAGUGCAGAAGAGGGUAGUGGAACUCCAUGUGUAGCGGUGGAAUGCGUAGAUAUAUGGAGGAAUACCGGUGGCGAAGGCGGCCCUCUGGACAAAGACUGACGCUCAGGUGCGAAAGCGUGGGGAGCAAACAGG
rnacentral:rRNA from 1 species